GUGUUUAUUGUUGAUAACCGUGGCUGUAGUUUUUCUGGCUCAAAAUGCCGAAGCUAGCUUCGAUGACGGUGAACUGUCACGUGAAGAAGUUGCAGAAUUGCUUGACAUUGACAGUGAAGAAGAUCUAGAUGAAUUCUUUGCUGAAUUUGAUACUAAUGGUGAUGGCGUUAUUGAUAUAGAAGAAUCUGAAGCAGUCGAAUUAUUCCUGGAAUAUUUAGAAUCAAAUGAUUCAGAAUAGAAUACAAUUCAACUCAGAAACCAUUAUAGUAUAUCGAUGAUCAUUAAUUUGAUACAGCUUUUCAUUUUAAUAAACAUAAUUCAUUGAAA